rnacentral:lncRNA from 1 species
UGGAAAUUAGGGGCUUCACCGCCAUCGGGGACGGGUGACUGCGUGUCCGCCGGUAAUGCACUCCAGGCCCACAGGGCCUUCAGCCGAGGGACGGCCACAAUAACCCCGGCCCGGUGGGGUCAGGUUACCUUUUCAAGUCGGACACCAUCGCGUGAAUGGAGUCCCCCCUCUCCGGAGGCCGAGCCGACUUGCGUGGAGCACAAUGGCCGCCCGAGGCAACCGGAAAUGGCAACACAGGGGACAGCACGUGUGUAUUUUACGUUCGGCUGCGUAUGGGGAAACGAUCCUACGCGGCUGGGUGAAGCUCGGAAGCCGUCCGACGUCCCCGCCGCCCUCAAAAAUAAACACGUCGGCUCCAAUCAGCUUCCUUCUCCUCGGGCGUCGCCGCGAACCCGACUCGUUACCUGUACGCCCUCCUCCCGCCGAGUCCUCUUCGCCGCCGCCGCCCGCUCCCGUUCCCGCUCCGUCCGUCCGUCAGUCCGCCGCCGGUUCCGGCCACGGAAGAAGGAAGGAAGGAGGGAAGGGAGGGAGAGGAAGGUGCCCGCCCACGCCGCGUCUCCCGGUCGGGCUGGAACCCGUGACCUUUGCGCCGGAGCGCAGUCGUGGCGCGUAUGAAGCGCCGAGGGCGCCAACAAUGUCCACAAGUGCUCCAGACAAACAUGGAACCGGCGAUUAAGUGGUUUUGUAACUUCAUUGCAAAUACUCCCUUCUAGCUGGUCUACCUCUACGUACCAUCCGACCUCCACAACUCAUACAAAAUGCAGCAGCACGACUGAUCUUCAACCUUCCCAAGUUCUCCCACACCACCCCUCUGCUACGUUCCCUCCACUGGCUCCCAGUAGCUGCACGCAUCAGGUUCAAAAUACUGAUGCUGGCCUACAAAGCCAAACAUGGAGUAGCUCCAUCCUACCUCACAGCCCUUAUUACACCUCGCACUGCACCUCGUAUACUCCGAGCCUCCAGUACUGCUCGCCUGGUCCCUCCAUCUCUGAAGGGAAAGGAAGACAUUCAUCUAGACUCUUCUCCGUCUUGGCCCCUCGGUGGUGGAAUGAACGUCCCCUCGAGGUCAGAACAGCUCAGUCACUGAGCACCUUCACACGGCAGCUCAAGACCUUCCUCUUUAGAGAAUAUUUAGAUUAACUUGGAACCUUCUUAUUGUCGAACUUGUGUACAGAAUCUACAACAGAGUGAAUAAAAAGAUUGUAUUCAUAUUUGGGGGUCCUAGU